GCCGACUUAGCUCAGUUGGUAGAGCACUUCACUAGUAAUGAAGGGGUCGACGGUUCGAAUCCGCCAGUCGGCA
rnacentral:tRNA from 1 species